AUCACAGCGGCUUUCCCGCCUCUCCUUCACUGCAGCCUUCCCCCCUCCAAUCUCUGCAGCCUUCUCUCCUUCCCUCUCCUUGCUGCAUCCUUCCAGCCUCCCCGCGCUGCAACCUUCCCUCCCUCUGCUCUGAUUGGCUGUGCCCGUCCCGAGGCUGUUUGCACCGCGGUUCCUCACAGCACCCGCACCUCGAACCGGGCUGUUUAUCCACAGUAAAACCGCUGAGCUCUGCGAGAUCGGGAUUUGCAACGUUGUUGUAGCGAGAAGAUGUUACCAAAAACGCCACAGGAAGAAAAAAAUCUUACUAAUUUUGCGUUUAUCUCGGACCCCCCGUGCUGCAGAGGGGCGCGAGCAGCACGUGUUGCGUUCCGUCCUGUUGCGUUCCUCAGCUGCGAGGAGACCCGCGGCGCUCUGCAGACAGCGACCGCGCCUCGCUGCCGCUGCUCACAUGUGUUAUUACUGCUUCAAUCAAGCAUCAUAGUGAACUCAUCUUUUAUGCACACAAAGAUGGACAAGGUCACUGAUCUGAGAGGGUGUCUAAACUAAAGCUUGUUGGAGAUGCAGCAAGAGAAGUUGGAAGGUUGAGGAAGAUUGGUAGGGUAAUCAUCAAAAACAUUAAUUCUUUGAGUAUUAUGGCCAAAUCUUGAGUUCUCAGGCUUUGUAAUUGUAGAUCUGCUAAAACCAGUGAUAUCUCUAAGGCAGGUAAUAGCUCUGGGAGAGGUGUCAGCACUCCUGAAUUACCCCUCGGCAGUUUGUCCAUGAUGAGUUAUUCUUAAGGAGCAGCUGUAUAAUCUAAGGAAGGGAACAGGCCACGACUGGAACUUGCUUUUGAGGUUUGUUUUCCAGAUUGUUGCAUUCCAAGACAUAAGCAGCUACAAAAAAGAAGGGUCUGCAGGUACUGCUGACUUUCAGUAAAUGAGAGAAGCCUAACAACAGUAACAAAUGAUGUAGUAGGACAGACUGAAGCAGAACUCAGUUGACUUCAACUGAUGGAUUUGCAAUUGUAUACUGUGUCCUAUACCUGACGUUUACCUUGCUGAAGUGAAUCAGGGUCCUCGGCCUAAUUAAGUGUUACAAGGAUUUGGCAAAAAAAAUCAGAAUUUUUGGAAAUGGAUUGGAGACUAUGUAAUAUUAGAAGGGCAUUUUCAGAACUCAGUCUCAGCAGUUUUGUUGGGGAUUGUCUUUUGGAAUCAGGGCAUUUCAGGAGCCCCUCAGGAAAUCUUUUAUUCUAUCUGUACCCACCCUGCUCAAGUCAGAACUGUAUCUAUUUAUUUUUCCUUUUGUUGUAACUGUAGCAUUAAAGUUUCAAAAAAAAAAAAAAAAAGUGUAAAAACAAAU
rnacentral:lncRNA from 1 species